ensembl:lncRNA
UCUGCUUCCAGUUCCAUAGACUCCAAUCAUUUAAAGGACUUCUUGAGUUGGCUGUAAAUAAAAGUUGGGAAUGCCUCCGAGAAGUCCUCCCGAGGUGCACCGUGCAGACCCAUCCCGCACCAGGACACAGAACUUAUGGACCUGAGGCUGACCCACCAUGCACAUUAUCUUUGGUACAUGACAGUGGAAAUAUGCAUACAUGAUGGAGAAAUCGUGAUUAAAAUAUUUGAAUGCAGAAAUGUGUACGUUGAAAAUUCUUUCAAUUAAAGUUCGUUGUUGUAACUAGAGGAUUCAGUUCUUCCUUUGGUCAUUUAUUUUUUUUAAAUCAUCUUUUAGUUCUCUGAGAAUUCUAUACAAUGUGUUUUAAUCAUAUUCAUCCCUCAUUUUUCUCCUCCCAACUCACCCCUCCUUUUGUUUUUCUAUCAAAUCUAAUCUGUGCUGCUCAUAUAUUCUUGGAUAUAUGGCCUUCCUCUGAAGUCUGGUGAACUUAUGACGGGGUGAUUCUUUUAAGGAAAGCUCUACCAGCAGCUUUCAAGUGCCAACAGCCCCUCAGCUAAAGUUGGGAUUUCAUGUCUACCUCCCCUCUCCAGACCGGGACUGGACUUGGUUCUUCUUGACACUUAGGGAGAAUGUAACUCUCUCUGGUCAGUGACUCUUAGGCACAAGUGUGAAUUUUCAAAGUGUCCUAAACAAGAGGAUCAGAACGUCUAUUUGUUGCAGAUUAUAAACCCAUGGAUAUUAUUCAAAUAGGCAUAGAAGUAUGUUUGAGUAUUCUGUUUCAUGUAUCUAAAAAUGUAAGGGUACAUUUCAGCAUAUCUCUUGUUCUCUAACUCCCUGUUUUUUAUUAAGUAUACGUAUGUAUAUGUGCAUAUAUACUUGUGAUAAUAUAAUAUCAAACACGGAAAUUGAUCAAUGUGACAUAAGACACUGUUCACAAUAAAGAUGGCAUCAGUAAGCAUCUAAGUAAUAAGUUCAUCAUUCUUGACUAUUUUCUCUACAAAAGAAAAGGUUACCAUCCCCAAAUCUACUAGCAUAUAUAAAAACAUUUUAAGGUUUCUCCAAAUUAGACAGAAAAUAUUUAUCAAAAGCUAUAUGACAUUAUUACUGACAAAUCACAUAGCAGAACUUCUAGUUUACUAAUAAUGAAAACCAAUUUUAAUCAUGCUGAGAAAUUGAAUUAUAUUUUCAUCCAUUUGCUAAAAAUUAUGAAAUUGUUAUACAGAAAGCCUUAAGAAAUUUAUGAAUAUUGACAGAAAUAGUCUUUUAGAUGUUAUAGUCAAAAGGCAACUUUACAGCAUGUUUACCUUUUGUGAUUAGGGCAAUUUUCAACUUUUGAGAACUCAUUUAUUGCGUUUUACUCUUUAAAUAAAAAAUAUUUCACCUAACUUUUAUUGAUUAUUUUUAAUUAUUUUGUUUUCUUUGAGAAAGAAGCUCACAUUAAACAAAUUCUGGUUACCUUAUAAACCCUGAAUUUUUGUCUGGUUUGUACCAUGGGAAGGAUUAUUCACCAUCAUUUUGCUAUUAAAGGAGCAUAAAGUGAGUUUCAUUGUGCAAAGGCUUUUUACUUCUAAGAUCCCAAGGAAUUUUUUAUUAGUCAGUUAAUUGUUUGAAUAUGUGAAGAGUCUUCUUGGGCCAUUUGGCCACUUACAACAUGUCUUAAACCUUUUUGUUAAUGUACAGAUAAAAUUAAAAUAAACAUUUAAGUAUUUAGUUGACAGUGUGUAUUACAAAUAUUUUCUCUCAUUUUAUAAAAUUUCACUUCACUUACUCUUAUGCUUUUUACUUAUGUACAAAAUAAUGGGCUCCAUGAUGGCAUUUUUGUGUAUUUUUUC